rnacentral:lncRNA from 1 species
UCCUGCUGUUCAGGAUCUGCUGUAUGUUUGUGCUGGGAGCUCAGCUGUGCUUUAGACCUGUGUGCUUUCUUUUUAUAUCAUAGCAACACUAAAAUGAUCUUCUCUCUUAUUCUUCUACUUAUUUGUGUCGCAGCAUCACAAGAUGCUUCAGUAAAUAUAUCAGAGACACAGCAGCCCAACGGGUUAACAGUCCAGCCCACUGGCACCACAGACCCUGGAGAUACUUCUGAGUCACAGACUACAACACAACUAAUCAUAAUUCAACAAAUGGAUGACACAAACAACACUGAGACAACCACUUCACAAUCUACCUGGCUGCCCCAGACAUCUGAACUGACAACGUCCAAACUGAAAAUCUCUGUCGACUCUAGUGAAACAUUUCCAGCAGAAGAAAACAGCAAAGCCUAUAACACGGAUCUUGGAGACAGAGGAGGACAAGAUGUGACAACAAAUCCUGGGCUGGUGGCAGUGCUGUGUAUUUUCUGCAUUGUGGUGGCUGUAGUUGUUGUGGUUGUGAUAGUGAAGGCUGUUCGCUCCAGGAGGCCACAGUUUGAGAGGCUUGAUGAUGUACCAAUGGGCAAGGUAAAUGAGGAUGCACCGUUUGCCCGCUACCCUCCAAAAUAAAUUCCAGUUUCUUAAACUUGCAGUCUCAGUAAACUACAUAGCUAUGCCUCUGAUAUUUAGCUUGUUUUUUUUGUUUUUUAAAUGAAAUGUGCCUUUUUAGCACAUAGACUUGAUGUGCAAUACCUAGUGUAUUAGUUAGAAAAUAUGGAAAUGUUGUGCUUAAUUUUUUUCCCACAAUAGCACAAACAGUGACAAAUCUAUAGUCAAAUGAGGAAUGUAAAUGCACAUAAGGAUAAAUGAACUGGUGGCCACCUAUGUCAUGAUUUGCAUGGUCAAUAUUUGUGAGAGACUAUGACAGCUGUGUAGCAUUUUCAGCUUGUCCUCCAGAUGGCGGCAAAAUUAUUCACAAGCAGUUUUACUGUAUCUAUAAUGUGGUCAUAAAGACCUG